rnacentral:rRNA from 1 species
AGUGAACGCUGGCGGUAGGCCUAACACAUGCAAGUCGAACGGCAGCACAGUAAGAGCUUGCUCUUACGGGAGGCGAGUGGCGGACGGGUGAGGAAUACAUCGGAAUCUACUUUUUCGUGGGGGAUAACGUAGGGAAACUUACGCUAAUACCGCAUACGACCUACGGGUGAAAGCAGGGGAUCUUCGGACCUUGCGCGAUUGAAUGAGCCGAUGUCGGAUUAGCUAGCUGGCGGGGUAAAGGCCCACCAAGGCGACGAUCCGUAGCUGGUCUGAGAGGAUGAUCAGCCACACUGGAACUGAGACACGGUCCAGACUCCUACGGGAGGCAACAGUGGGGAAUAUUGGACAAUGGACGCAAGCCUGAUCCAGCCAUACCGCGUGGGUGAAGAGGGCCUUCGGGUUGUAAAGCCCUUUUGUUGGGAAAGAAAAGCAGCAGGUUAAUACCCCGCUAUUCUGACGGUACCCAAAGAAUAAGCACCGGCUAACUUCGUG